CCCACUGAAGCAAGACCCAGGACAAGUUUGGCCCCAUGUGGUUGCCCCCUGAAGAGUGGCUGUGCCCCUGUCCCAUUACUACUCUGAUCCUCAUCCUGGGAGCAGGAGGAGGGCUGCGGGUUGGUGUGAUGCUGGUCAGCAGGGUUCUCCCUUGCGGAAAGGGUAAGUGGCGGCCACUCUAGCUUUCGCUGGCUGGAGCCUAGGCAGUAAUUCUCUUCUCGCAGGGACAGAGAGGAGCUACCUGCAGGUGAUUAUAGGAGAUGGUGACCACAGCAUCUCCCUGGGGAGCCUGCCGUGGGAAGCGCUCCUCCUGAUUUGCAGUAGCCUCCACUCCUGCUUUGGAACCAUGCCUCAGAUCUUGCUGUCUUCCUAAAAUGCUGGAAGCAUAUAGACCCAUCAGCCUCUAACUACCCUUUUGGUUGUCCCUCUGCAGGCUGCUCCUCAAGCCCAGGUCUGCUGCCUUUGCCUAGUCUCAGGAUGUCCAACUCCCCUGACUUUGCUAAGAAGCUCUAUGUCCUCGGCACUCAAAGUGUGGUCCCCCAGCCAGCAGCAUCAACAUCAUCUGGGAGCUUGAUAGAAAUGCAGAACCUCAGGCCCCCUCCCAAGCUGCUGAGAGGGAAUGUGCAUUUUAACAAGAUACCCAGGACCCAGCAAAAAGGUACCUUCUAUGAACCAGAAGACCAGCCCUCACCAGAUGCUGAAUCUUCUUUGAUCUUGGACUUCUCAGCCUCUGGAACUGUUGGUGCCUUUGAUACCCUGUUGUGGGGUGAAUUCACUUGCACUUCAGUGAGCAAGUCUAGAACCAUCUUCUUCCAAGUCUCAGCCCACGCCCCUUGCAGCUUUCCUUGUCUGUCAGUGUUCAGAUCACACAUUUGGCUCAGUCUCUCAGCUGUGGGGUAAUCAAACCCACCACACUACCUCGUGGAAUUUCCAGGAAGAUAAAAUCAGAAACGCCAUGGGACAGAAGACAAACUGAGGCUUGGUCACCUGGAGGAUCAGCAGCUGGAUUGUUUCCUGUAACAAAGUUCCCGCUAGAGAGUCCCUGAUCUCUGUGAUGCAGUAUUUCCCUAGUUUUUAUUUCUACUUCAAUGAGGCAUCUCAGUGUCAGUUUCCUUUGGGAAAAGAAAAUCACAUGUCCCCACAGCUUUGUGCCCAAUUGUGAAGGACAAUUCAGCGUUGAUUGUCUGUCUGGACUCUCGUGGGGUGGAGGCCAGUGGGGCUAGUACGAUGCUUAGCACACCUGGGCUGUCUAGCCUUAAGGAAACCAGAUCUGCCAGGGAGGCAGGAAAGCAAUGCAGAGAUUUUCUUCUGCCUUCCUCGGGGGACGGUCUUCCGGAGCAACAACGCACCAUGUAGCUACAGAAAACUUAUUACGUUCCAGGUGCUGGGAGCAGCUAGUUGCAGAUACUUAGAGCGGUAAGAUUUUAAGUUAGACAUAAGGAAGGACUUCCAGCUAUUGGUAUUGAUAUAGUAGGACCCAAGCUUUCUUCACAGCUUGCAGCGUCAGGGAAGGAUGAGAUCAUUCUUAAGAACAUUUUGAAUAAAGGCUUAGAGGGACUGAAUAGUUAAUGAUUC
rnacentral:lncRNA from 13 species